rnacentral:rRNA from 1 species
UGGGGAAUUUUGGACAAUGGGCGAAAGCCUGAUCCAGCAAUGCCGCGUGUGUGAAGAAGGCCUUCGGGUUGUAAAGCACUUUUGUCCGGAAAGAAAUCCUUGGCUCUAAUACAGUCGGGGGGUGACGGUACCGGAAGAAUAAGCACCGGCUAACUACGUGCCAGCAGCCGCGGUAAUACGUAGGGUGCAAGCGUUAAUCGGAAUUACUGGGCGUAAAGCGUGCGCAGGCGGUUUGCUAAGACCGAUGUGAAAUCCCCGGGCUCAACCUGGGAACUGCAUUGGUGACUGGCAGGCUAGAGUAUGGCAGAGGGGGGUAGAAUUCCACGUGUAGCAGUGAAAUGCGUAGAGAUGUGGAGGAAUACCGAUGGCGAAGGCGAGCCCCCUGGCCAAUACUGACGCUCAUGCACGAAAGCGUGGGGAGCAAACAGGAUUAGAUACCCUGGUAGUCCACGCCCUAAACGAUGUCAACUAGUUGUUGGGGAUUCAUUUCCUUAGUAACGUAGCUAACGCGUGAAGUUGACCGCCUGGGGAGUACGGUCGCAAGAUUAAAACUUAAAUGAAUUGACGGGGUCAUAGCUGUUUCCU